rnacentral:rRNA from 1 species
UACGGGGGGGGCAAGCGUUGUUCGGAAUUACUGGGCGUAAAGGGCGCGUAGGCGGCUCAAUCAGUCGGGCGUGAAAGCUCUGGGCUUAACCCAGAAAGGUCGUUCGAUACUGUUGGGCUAGAGUGUGGAAGGGGCAACUGGAAUUCUCGGUGUAGCGGUGAAAUGCGUAGAUAUCGAGAGGAACACCUGCGGCGAAGGCGGGUUGCUGGGCUGACACUGACGCUGAUGCGCGAAAGCUAGGGGAGCGAACGGG